AUACAUAGCUGGCAGAGCGGAGACCGUGGUCCAGAAGGUGGCUUCCAAGGGCACGGUUCCCCAUCACACUCGGGAUUUGCUGAUUCACCCGUGAUUCAUCCCAGUGUGGGGAUUCACCUGUGUGAUUUGUGGUGCUUGGGGCCGUGAUUAUGCUUCCCCUAU